UGCUUAACACAUGCAAGUCGAACGAGAAAGCUCCUUCGGGAGUGAGUACAGUGGCGAACGGGUGCGUAACACGUUGGUGACCUGCCUUGAGGAGGGGGACAACCGUGGGAAACCACGGCUAAUACCCCGGAUGUCUAACUGUUAGAGGGUUUAGACUAAAACUUCGGUGCCUCAAGAGGGGCCUGCGGGCUAUCAGCUUGUUGGUGGGGUAAUGGCCUACCAAGGCUAAGACGGCUAGGGGGCGUGAGAGCGCGACCCCCCACAAUGGAACUGAGACACGGUCCAUACUCCUACGGGAGGCAGCAGUGAGGAAUAUUGCGCAAUGGGGGAAACCCUGACGCAGCAACGCCGCGUGAACGAUGAAGGCCUUCGGGUCGUAAAGUUCUUUUCUAAGGGAAGAUAGUGACGGUACCUUAGGAAUAAGUCCCGGCUAACUACGUGCCAGCAGCCGCGGUAAAACGUAGGGGGCGAGCGUUAUCCGGAUUUAUUGGGCGUAAAGCGCACGUAGGUGGCGCUGUAAGUUAGACGUGAAAGCUCUCGGCUCAACUGAGAGAGGUCGUUUAAAACUGCGGUGCUUGAGGUUAGAAGAGGAGAGCAGAAUUCCCGGUGUAGUGGUGGAAUGCGUAGAUAUCGGGAGGAAUACCAGUGGCGAAGGCGGCUCUCUAGUCUACACCUGACACUGAGGUGCGAAAGCGUGGGUAGCGAACGGGAUUAGAUACCCCGGUAGUCCACGCUGUAAACGAUGGAUACUAGGUGUAGGGGGUCAUUUAACCCCUCUGUGCC
rnacentral:rRNA from 1 species